CUGGUUCGCCAACCUGGAAGCUCUCUGAACGCCCCCCUUUAUGGGUUUUCAUGGAGGCUCCACCCCUCUAAUCAUGGGUGGUUCCCCUGGCCACCAUACCCCCAUCCUUGGGGGAUUUCCUAGAGUCACCUCAUUAACACAGACUCCGCGUGGUCGUGGGAGGCUUGUUAUGGAUAUCAAGACACCCGUCUCACUUCCUGGCUCCGAGGGGAUUUCAGGAACUGAGGCCAAAAGACCCAAUGUCAUAAAAAGAUGCUCCCGUUGCUCUUAGGAAAUUCAAAGAGUUUUGGGAUGAAGUUCAAAAUACGUAUGUAUGAUAAAUCACAAUAUCACAGUCCCAUAACCACUUUGAAAAUUGAGUUUGUAGUUACACCUACUGAAAAAGAAAUCCCCAGGCCAAGAUUGUGUCAAUGGCAUAUUCUACCAAACAUCUAAAGAAGAAAUGGCACCAAUACUGUUCAGUCUCUUCCAGAAAAAUAGAACAGGAGCUAAUGUGUCCCAACUCACCUUUUAAGGAAAGCAUUGUCCUGAUUCCCACACCUGGGAAUACCAAAAAGAAAAACCUACAGACAACAUCCCUCAUGAGUAACUGCGGGGUCCUGCACAUGUCGAAUCGAAUUCUGCGAUACACAAAAAGAAGAAUGCACCACAACUAAGGGGGUGUAUCCUGAGAAUGCAGAGUGGGUCAUGACUUGAACUCUAUCAUCACAACCCCUCACGUUCAUUGUUUAAGGAAAAUGAUCACACAUCAUAUCAACUGAUGCAGAAAAAGUAUUUGACAAAAUCGAACACCCAUUCAUGACACGAACUCUCAGUAGAGUAAGAUCGGGGGGAACUUAGCCAGAUAAGGGUCAUGCAAAGAAGCCUACAGCUUACGUCACAGGUAAUGACAGAAGUGGAGGCUCUAGCCCUGAAAUCAGGAACAAAACAAAGAAGUGUACUCUCACCAUCUUGAGUCAACAUCAUACUGGACGUCCUGGCCACUCCAGUGAAAAGGAAAUGGAAAUACAUAGACUGGAAAGGAAGAAAUAAAACUGUCUUCAUUCACAGACGACGUGAUUAUCUGUAGAGAAAAUUCCAGAGACUGUGUGAGGAAAGCUGGUGCACAACUGCACGAGUUGCAUGCAAGAUCACAACAGAAAGAUCGAAACUGGAAACCAGGAAUUUUAAACAUAAAACAUAGAAUAGCUCCCAAAGUACCGAAUCCUAGGUGCAUAUCUGCAGAAAACAUGCAGUGGAUUUCUCUGUGUUGAAAACUAUGAAAUUCUGAAGGUAGAUUUUUUUUUUAAGUUUUUGCAUUUCUUUUUUUAAGUGAUUCCUUUUGGGAGGGGAAGUAAUGAGGUUUAUUUAUUUAUUUUAAUUUUAAAAAAUUUAAUGGCGGUACUGGGAAUUGAACCUAGGACCACACACAUGCUAGUCAUGCACUCUACCACUGAGCUAUACCUUCCCCCCAACAAGGAAGAAAUUUUAAGACAAAUAAACGGAGAGACAUACUAUGUUCAUGGGUGGAAAGCCUCAACAUGGUACAGGUGUCAGUUCUCCUUAAAUUGAUCUAUAGAUUAACUGCAAUUCCCAUCAAAAUCCCAGCAAGACUUUUUGUAGAUACAGACAAGCCGAUUCUAAAAUUUAUGUGUGAAGGUGAAAGGAUUAGAAUCGCUGCAACAAUUACGAAAAAGAAGCAUAAAGUGUAGAGUCCUCUUACCCACUUGGAACACUGGCUCCGCAGUCGCAGUGACGAACGCAGCGCAGUGUUGCUGAAGGCUGGGCACGCAGUCGAUGGAACAGACAGAGCCCAGAAAUCGGUCCUCACGCACACGGCUGCUGAUCUGACAAGGCACAGAGGGAGAGGAAGGGUGUCUUUUCAACAAAUAGUGUGGGAACAACUGGAUAAUCACCAGCAAAAAAAAGGAAUCUUGAUCUAAACCCAUAACUUACAUAAAGAUGAACUCAAACAAUGGGCCAUAGGUCUAAAUGUAAAAUAUGAAAGUAUGAAAUUUUGAGAUUAAAACACAGGCCAAAACCUUGCUAACCUGGAGUUAGGUAAAGAGUUUAUUGAUUUGACAUGAAAAGCAAAUUCCAUCAAAGGAAAAAUUUGUACACUAAUGUGAGUAGAGCUGUCGAGAGGGCCAGCUGUUUGGAAAGCAGUCUGGUGGCAGCUGGUAAAACUGAAGUGUAGGAUCUUUGCCCAAGAACCUUCUCUCUUGGGAAUCGGGCCACCCCGCAGAAAGGAGCUUCGUCGUGAGGAUGCAGUGAUGCUGGUGCAGCUUCGCCUGUGGGCCAAGGGGAUAGCCACACGGAGAGGGCGGCUGGACACCCACCAGCACCGCCACAGCCCCAGGGAGGCUGAACCCUGGCACUGCUCAGUCAGCACUCAGCGUGCACUCCCGACAUUGGGAGCGGCGGGGAGACUGCCCCGGGGAGGCGGAGGGUGAGUGCUAACCCCCAUGAAGUGUGGAGCCCUGCUGUGAACCAGCAACCACCUGCGUGUGCACAGGCCGAGCACAGCGGCCUCCGGGGAAUCACACGCAGCUGCAGAGACGUGUCGGGAAGAUAACACGCCAUUUGCACGGGCUCUCUUGGAGGGGGCUGAUGCUGCUGCGUGCAGGGGUAGGAAAAGGCUCCCUUCAGAGCCACUAAAUGGAAAGGAAGAGGCAUAGUUUUAAAACCCCAGGGAAGGUCACAUUUACGUGAGUCUGAAAUUCCCACGUGUGGGUAGGCACUUGCAAGGGAAUUAAUGGAAAAGAAAAGAUUGGCCUGUGGAGGUGCAGGUCAGGUGGUCCAGAGUUCAGCAGAGCACAGAGAGUGGAGGCCAGGCUCGGAGGACCCUGCGGGAGGGGGUGGGGAGCCCACUCCUCCUGGCGGGGUCAGUGCCCGCUGGUGCCUGCCAGGUGGGGUCAGCUCCCACAAGGGCCUUUGUUCUGCCCAAAGGCCCUGAAGGACUUUAAGAGAAACAGGAUCUCCUAGAGUAAAACCUUCUCUGUUUCCACUGGAAGUGGGUCUGGGGAGGCUGUACCAUUUCGCUGAGGAACUAUGGAGGCACCUCGCUCUGUACUGAGCGCACAACAGUUGGCGGUUAAUAAGUGUUAAAGGAGUGAGGGCACCACCUCGCUCUGUACUGAGCACACAACAGUUGGCGGUUAAUGAGUGUUAAAGGAGUGAGGGCACCUAGGAAUGUCGAGGUGUCCAGGGAGGUGCGGGGAAGCUACAGGAAGGCGCCCUGUGGCUAAGGGUUCAUGAGAGGCAGCCUGUGGACAGGGCACGGGGAUGGCUACCAGCACCUUGGAGGAGAGGUCUGGAGAGCAGCCUGGUGAGCACUUCUCAAGAGCCAGGGGAGCAAGCACUUGGGCAAAGGCUCAUUUUAAACCCAGGCACCGGUCCUGCGGGCAGGGUGCCCCGUCCUGGGCAGGGCCUGACUGCCAGGCUGCUGGAGGGCCAGCUCUGCUCCUGGAUCCCGGGAGGGAGGGCAGGUCGCAGGCAGCUCUUCUGCCCUCGUUUUCCUGAAGGGCCACGUUUGGAGACGUGGCUUUUCCCGAGGAGGCUGUCAGUGGGAGGAAGCCUCCUUUUGAGCUCACAGCUCAGCUGGACCCACUGCUGCCUCGGGACUGCUGGCCUCCGUGUCGGGGCUCUGCUGUGGACCUGGGCUUUCUGCACGCAGGACUCAUCUGAUGGGAUGAGACACUCUCUUUCCUUCUGUUCCGCUGCGUUAAAAAAGGCCAUGUGGCCAGUGAGUCCGGCCGGUGGCCAGCACUGAAGGACCAGGAGUUUGUGUGUCCAGGAUCCCCCCCCAAAUGGGAGACCUGGGCACCUGUUUGCCAAAAAGACUUGCUUUAAAGAGGUCUAGGACGCAGUCUUUAGAAUGCAAGCACCUCUUUUAUUGCUCAGAUUUUAUGGUAGCUCGUUGCCACAACGCUUUGUCAGCCAGUGGCAAGUUAAUGCACUUGUGUCCGCGCUCUGGUAUGCUCAUGCGUAAAUUCCAUUUUUCCGGGGCGUGGCCGUGGACCGUUGUGUGUCUUCGUUUGGUUUCCGCGUGUUCCUUGCAGCACCGAGGAGCCCAUCAACGCGUGUGUUUGCUGAGCCCGCUCCCUCCUACAGGAGGUUUUGUUGACACCUUGAGAUUGUCUACAGUCAGUCAUGACCUGUGCAAGCACCAAGUUUUAUUUGUUCCUUCCCAAUCGAUCUGUGUUUCCUGGCCUUGCGGAAGUGGCCGGAACUGGCAGGGCUGCCCUGAAGAGAGCGGAGAGAGAAGACUCCCCGACUCCGACCCCAGGGAAAGGCCCAUGUGUCCAGUCAGGCGGGGUGCUGGCCGUGGGGAGAGCAGGGACCCGGGGCACACGGGGUCCAAAGCUGGUGGGGCGUGGCAUCGAGCAUCACGCCCCACAAGGGUUUGGUUCUUCCCUGCAGUGAUAACGGAUCCAUGGAUAAGAGAUGACGAUGAAGUUUGCGGGGCACCACAGGGUCAGGUGACGCUGCCUUGCCCGCCAGAGGGAGGGACCGAGGCUCAGUUCAGUAGCUCAUGGAUUCAAGACAGAUGGAAAGAGGCAGAGAGAAGGAUGGAAACAGAGACUUGAGAGAAGGAGACGAGACAGAAAGGCAGACAGAGACGCAGCGGUGGAGGGAGCCUUCCUCUGAGACUCUCCCUUUGGAGUGAGCCCUGGGGUGGGAGCCCUACUGGCCAAGCUUCUGGACGUGGGAGCAAGUGCCGGCUGCCUGGAGUCCUCGCCGGGCCUCCGCACAUCCCCAGCCCCGUUCCUGGCUCCCCAGGGGUCCGUUAGGUGACGCAGGGCACCAUGCUCACCUCGGAACUCAGGGAUCAAGGAGGGGGUUCUUUUGGUUUUAAUGGGCACUUUUGACUUUUCGGUGUCAGCAAAUCGGAAGGGAUGCGUGGUCACUGCAUGUGCACAGUGACCUCUGAUGCAUCCUCGCUUCUCUCACGCCUGGUUUUAGGGGAUGAAAAGCAGCCCCCGUCUCUCAGUACCCACCCCCGGGUCGAGAUCCACUGUCUCAGGAAAGCGGUCGGACGAUCAGCGCCAAGCAGGCUGGGAUCCCGGGCUGGUCCUGCGGAGGACGGCGCCUGUGGGCAGGCACUCGCCACCGAGCGGGCAGACCCUCGGGGUGUGAGGACCCAACACAGAGCAUCUCUGGGGACUAGGGGACGGAGAUCUGGGCACCUCUGAGCAGAGCAGCCAGUGGAGGGAGCCCCUGGACUCUAGACCUUCCGGGAGCGGACCCCUCCUCACCCACCCCUGCCCCUCCCCUACUCCCAAACGCCCUCACCCUGCCCACCUGCACCCCCUCCUCUCAGCCUAGCCCUGCAGUCCUCAGGGUCCUGUCCUGUAGUUGAUAAAUAACCUAAGUUGCGAAGGCUCCCCAACCCCCCUCACUCUCCCCCGAAUUCCACAGUGUCCAGGUGCCCAGCGGACAUCAUACCUGAACGUCCGCAUGUGGUGGGGACCAGCAACCACAGCCGGCUUUCUGCUGGUGACCAGGUGCACACCGUGCUCCAAAUGAGCUCAGCAGAAAUGAACCCUGAGAACCCGCCACCAGGCAGCGAAGCGGCGAGGAGUUCUGGACCCGCAAGUCCCCUGACUCCCCCGCUCACCUCCCGAGCCUCAGCUCCUGGCCUCCACAGUCAGGAUACGGUCGGUCUUCCUGCCGGCGGCACAUGUGCCUGAAAAGCCUGCACGACCUCUAACGAGCAGGCAGAGCAUCCGUGUGUGAGCGCCACCCAGCCCAUCAACAUUCGUGGGGACGUCUGUGAACCGUGCACCUCUGUACCCCUCGCUGGUUCCGAUGCGCGGGACGGGGGUGCGUCGCACCCCACUCAGGCUCUGCCGGUUUGCGUGUCGGUCCUUUGAGUCCUGUCGCUUCCCAGGGCCGGCGCGCCCCUGACGGCCGGGUCCCCAGGGCUGCUGCCCCACGCCUGCCUCCGGCUUCCCUGGCCAGCACCCCUCCGGCACCGCUGCCCGUCCGACACUGAGGCGGCCUUGUCACAGCUGCUGCAGGCAGAGCUCACUCACUUGCACUUAAAACCACGAUUUGGAGCCGGCAGGAACACGUGAGAGCUCCCCUCCUACCGUCUUGUGAGCACAGCCCCGUGCUGUUAGCCACGGGCACCUCUGGAACGGACCUUCCUGCACACCUGAACUGUUUGCACCUGGUGGACUACAAGCCCCGCCCCUGGGACCCACCGUUCUACCCUCUGCUGUUGAGCCUUUUUCAAUGAUGCCCUGAAACUCCAGGAAGCUUGGCUGUCGUGCUGCCCCUCCCCUCUUAGCUCUGCCCCUCUGCAGCUCCUGGACCUUCUCCUUGGGGGCUUUUGUCCCCUCAGGCAGUCCUGCUGAAACGGGGAUGCCUCUCCUCAGCCUUAAAGACCUGUGGUCAGUCCAGGGAGGCAGCUUCUCAGCAGAACCCAGGUGGGGCUGGAGCCUGGAGGUCCCAGGCCUGGGAGUCCUCUGGGCCCGCGUCUGGGGAAGCCCCCACCCUCUCCAGCCUUCAUCUCCGUGUCUGAACUAUGUCAGCAUCAGAUGCCGACCAGGGGCCCAAGAAGGAGCCCCUCCACCAGCCAAUGAGGGUCCCAGGGAGAGGCUGCUCUGGCAACUGUGAGGACCCCCAUGAGCCGUGAGGUGGGCGGGCUGCUCGUCUGCCGCUCGGCCCGAGGGCACCUGAGCGUCUGGAGUGUCUGCAGUCCCUCUGUGCAGCCUGGCCCAGCUCUGGUCUCCUAUCACUGUCCUGUCACUGCGGCUUGACCCCGCAGGCCACCGCGGUCUUCCUGGACGCUGCCUGCCGGACCCUGGGGAGAGGCUCAGUCCCUGAGUUGGCUGGAGGAGGCGGUCUGCGGCCGAGGCCACUGUCACCUAGAACUGGCAGGGGCAGGGCCUGAGCGCCUGAGUUGAGCUCAAGUAUUCCCUGCCCCAGACGCACCAGGAUGAUUUCCAGGCAUGCAUCUUAAACUCAAGGUCCUUCGGGACUUCUGCUACGUGUCCAAGAGCUAUCCAGGGCCCAGAGACCAGACCAGACGCCACAGUGCCCACGUGAACUUCAGGAAACAGUGGGAAUCAGUAAGGUUCCCGGCGAGGAGCGCUCAACAGAAAACUGGAGUGGGACAGUGGGGGCCUUGAGUCUCAGGGGGCCAGGGAGGGGCAAGAACCUGAUCUUGUCCCCAGCCUGCUGAUUCCUGUACCACCGUCCACGUCCAUGCCGGGAGGGGGUGAGGACCCAGGCCGGUACCCCAACUGGACGUGAGAUUGCCCUGUUGGGAUGAGCCUCUCCCCGCAUCACGACACAGGGGAGCCCAGGGAAAAUGUGGUGCCAGCCAUCUCGGGACCGUGACCCGCCGAUGUGAACGUUCAUGGGGACAGAAAGUCAGCAAGAUCAUCUGGGAAGAGCCUGGGAAAGUGCUGAGGGAGAGAGCUCCCCCAACCAGCCCCCAAGACGCGCCUGCUGUGGCAUUGCAGCAGGAAGGAAGGCAGACCUUUGUAAGGAGACAGAAUCCUGGAGGGCGCGUAGGAAGGGGCGGAUGCAGCCCCAGAGCAGCCAGGUCUCUGCGAGGGGGGGGCCCUAAUCAAAGGCAAGGGAAACGUGAACGGCGGGAGGUUGUUUGCUCUGCUGGCUGUCUUCAAGGGGAGCAGUUUCUACAGCUCAGGUUUUUACAAGGCCAAAAAAAAGGGAAGUGGCGUGAAGAGACAGUUCACAAUGGAAAGGAAGCAGUGAUGAAGCGUCCUUACUUGCCUGGCUCCCAACAGACAUGCAGAGUGUAACCGAGAGCAAUGUCACCAAGCACCUCCCUCCUCGGCCCCAGUCAGGGCCGUGGCCGCUCGUGAAGGUCAGGAAAUCUCAGAGAGUCUGGCUGGGGGUCCGUGGCCGCCUUAGACACGCUCAGUAAGAGCUCGGUUGCACACAGGUGACCAACAGCAUGCUUGCAUUUGGGAACAAAGUGCGUUAACAUCCCUCCAUGGGAUCUUCCAAAUUUGCCAAAGCAGAAAAACAUGAGUGCCCAUCCAAAAGAAUUUGGACAUAAGCCAUGAUGAGUCCUUAAAAGCCAGGUGACACGGCCAUUCAACAGGACACACGUCCGAGGUGGGAGAGGAAGGUUUCUCAGCUACUGGCAUUUCACGCCCUCGUGGUCUCUGACCUGCUAUGACGUUCACCUGCCCUGGUUCCACCCAUCGGACGCGACCCCUGCUCCCAUCCUGGAUGGCGCUGCUGGUCCAGGAGCGAGAAGUCCUAAAGGCCCGGUGCUGUGUGAGCUGGAUUCCAGACGUGUCCCGUCCGACCUGCCCGACAUUUAGGGACACCUGGCCAGACCAGCCCCUCUUGCUCAGCCAGUCCCUGAGCUGAUUUCACAGCCACCGCCAGUUAAGAGUGAGGUCGAAUGGAGCAGACACGAGCACCGUGGCCUGGGGACCCCCGUUCCGGAACCCUGAACCCCCACGUUGGGUGUCCCUGGGGGCCCAUAGGCCCAGGAAGAGCUCAGUGGGCAGGAGCCAAGUUCACUGCCCCGAGGAAGAGCCUCUAUCCACUGGCAGAGAGGCCCCCAGCCAGCACCCCCGGCCCCUGGCGCCCACUGACCCACUUCCUGUCUCUGCACAUUUCACGUCGAGGGACUUGUCCGUGGUCCGUGCGUCCAGUUUCCUUCCGUCAGCCUGAUGUCCCUGCAUGUCCGGUCCCCACUCUAUGGGUGACUGUGCCCCUGCAGGGACAGACCACAUUUUGUUCUUCCAUCCGUCCGUCCAGGGACCCUGGAUUGUUGCCAGCUUUUCGCUGUGUGAGUGUUUCCCUGUGCACGUGUCUGUACAGGUGUCUGAGUGCCUGUCUUCACCUCUUUGGGGACACACCUAACAUGGACUUGUUGGGUCAUAAGGUGACUCCACCUUCACCUUUUGGAGAAACUACCAAACUGUCCUCCACGGCAGCUGCACCACGUUACAAUCCUGCUGGCAACACAGGAGGCCCCAGUGUCUCCCCGUCCUCGUUCUGCUGGUGGUAGCCACUCCAGUGGGCAAGACGCCCUGUCUCCCUGUGGUUCUCCUGACGACCACUGACGUCGAGCGUCUGUGCCUGUGUGCCUUGUUCUCUGCAGUCGGGUGGACUUAGGAGAGAUGUCUGUCCGAGCCCUUUGUUCGUUUUCUCCAAGGGCUGUCUUCUGAUGGCUGAGUGCUGAGUUGUUACACACACUGUGUACUAGACCCCUUAUCAGUGCUCCAGCUCAGCAGUUGGCCUGGGCUUCCAGCCCACUCCUCGCUCCUGGCUCCUCACAGCCUCCCCCACCCCCCGGGGCAGAGCUUCAAGGCUGCAGGGAGUGGUCUGUGAGCGGAGGGGAGCGUGAGCCUCGACCCACCUGCCCUGGAUGUCGGCCACCCCAGCACCAUCUUCCUCUCCGACCAGACAGACCGCCGAGCUGCCUCCACGGCGCCAACUCCACGCUGUUGGCUCUCUGGCACUCUUCAACGCGGUGGCGUCUUUGGAUUUUGUUGUUUUGCAGCAUCGGACAUGGAGAAGCUGGAGACCAUCCUGGUGUCAGAAUGGGCAGAAAUAACAGCCAAAUACGCACAGCAAAAAGCCCAGGCAGCAGCCAGGCCUCCGUCGGCACCAGGAGAUGCUCUCCAAAGCCCCGUGCCUCGGAGAGGAGAGGGCCCGGCGCCGGCCGGCGCCGAGAGCAGCAAGGCAGGCGCGGGCCGUGCGUCCUGAGGUGGCCGCCCCUCGGCCCGCACCGUCCUCUCACCGGGAGACGCCUCACUGAGAGGCCCCUGCGCACCCCCGAAGCUGGGUGCCCCCGUCACAACCUUGGCCCAAGGAGUGCGGCUGUGUCACUGGAGCUCCGAGGCCAGGCCCAGGCGACUCAGCGCCACCUGCCCUCGGGGCCCGGAGCCACCACCCGAAACGUACACCACCCUAGGGCCACCAUGCUGCUGGCCUCGCAGAGACAGGAGCCCAGGGUGUGAGGACGAGUGUGAGGGGCCCCGCCGCCCCCGGCACCUGCAAACCUGGCCAGAGAGUCUGGGAGGUCUCCUGUGAUGGGCCAGGAUGGGGGACUCGUUUAAUGGCUUCGGAGAAUCACAACACCAUAACUGGGGAAGGCCGUGGACACUGGGGAAGAGGCCAGUCGAGUGAGAGAGGAGACACUCAGGAAAGAAAAAACUGACAACCAGAACUGUAUGUCACUUUAAACCUUUCACUCUGCAAAAGGCCCUGUUAAGAGAAUGAAAAAGAGCUACAGACUGCGAGAAAAUCUUGGCCAAUCAUGUACCUAAUAAAGCUCUUAUGCAGAAUAGAAACAAAAACUCUAAAACCCAAUAAUAAAACACAUGAGCCCAUUAAAAAUGAUCACAAGAUAUGAACAGACAAUUCAACAAAGAAGACACACACACACACACACACACAUAAUGCAGAUACACGGUGUGUGUGUGUACACAGCAGACAAACACAGGAAAAAUGCUUAUUCUGGAAACAACACGGUGCCACCUCACAGCUGCUAGAAAGGCUGAGGCCCGGAGCAGUGGCAGCACCAGAUGCGGAGAGGAUGCGGAGCAACAGGAACUCCCGUCCAUCACUGUUUGGGAUGCAAAUGGUGCAGCUGCUUUGGAAGACAGGUGGUUUCUUAGAAGACUAACCAUCUGUUACCAUGAGAUACAUUAAUCAUGAGUUACCAUGAGUAUCUUCCCAGAUAACUGAAAAUGUGUAGCCACGUAAAACCAGGAUGCAGUAUUCACUGCUUCAUGCAUGAUCACUAAAAACCAGAAGCCACCAAGAUGGUGUCCAACUGGAGAAUGGACAGACUGUGGAAUUCCCUAACAUGGACUCUGUAGUCAGUGAUGCUACUGGUUCACUCAACAGCUUGGAUGAAUUGUAGCCACAUUGUGCUGAGUGAAGAAUCCAGACCCGCGUAGGACUCCGCUCACAUGACGCCCUGGAAGAGGCACGGCCGCGGGGAGGGUGAGAGUCAGCGGGCCCCAGGGCUGUUGGAGCGGGGCCCAGCUGGACCAAGGCUGUGCCCGCUCCACAAGAGAUGGAAACCACGGAGCUGUACGUCCCAAGACUGAACUGUUAGGUAGGCAAACUAAAAAAGGAGAAAAUAAAACCUCAUCAAACUGGACACCUGGCACAUUUGCAUUUCGGUGAAUGUAGACUUUACUCCAGAAAAAUGUUAACACUGACGCACCCGGAAGAUUCCCCGGCUCUUUUGGCUUAUUUCCGAAUCAUGCCUGUUGUGUCAUCAGGGUGUGUAGACAAA